GACGAACGCUGGCGGCGUGCUUAACACAUGCAAGUCGAACGGAAAGGCCCUGCUUUUGUGGGGUGCUCGAGUGGCGAACGGGUGAGUAACACGUGAGUAACCUGCCCUUGACUUUGGGAUAACUUCAGGAAACUGGGGCUAAUACCGGAUAGGAGCUCCUGCUGCAUGGUGGGGGUUGGAAAGUUUCGGCGGUUGGGGAUGGACUCGCGGCUUAUCAGCUUGUUGGUGGGGUAGUGGCUUACCAAGGCUUUGACGGGUAGCCGGCCUGAGAGGGUGACCGGCCACCUUGGGACUGGGAUUCCGCCCCGAAUCCUACGGGAGGCAGGCGUGGGGAAUAUUGGCCCAUGGGCCGAAGCCUGAUGCCGCCACCCCGGGUUCGGGGUGACGGCCUUUGGGGUGUAAACCGGCUUUCCCUGUGAAGAAGCCUGGGUUACCGUUAUGGGUAAAGAAGCACCGGCUAACUACGUG
rnacentral:rRNA from 1 species